UUUUAUUUUUGGGGAUUUUGGGGGGAUUUUUGUGGGAAUUUUUGGGGAGGGUUUGGAGCAGGUGAAGAGAGAUGGGACAAGGAUAAGGGACAGGGACAAAAGGGACAGGAGCAGGGACAGGAGCAGAGGAAGAGGAAGGGACAGAAAAUGGGGACAAGGAAGGGACAAAGUGGGGACAGAGAGGGGACAGGGACAGGAGAAGGGACAGGGACAGAAAGUGGGGACAAGGACAGGGGGAAGGGACAGGGACAGGGACAAGGAGCAGGAAAAGGGGGAAGGGUCGGGAUUGUCCCCCCCGGAGUCCCCGCCCGUGCCAGGACACGGGGACAGCGCGGGGACAGCGCGGGGAGCAUCGAUCGCAGUGUCCCCGCAGUGUCCCCGCAGUGUCCCCGCAGUGUCCCCAGCGCCUGCCGGGUAAUUCCAUCGAUUUUCCCUCUCCCGCUUUUCCAGGGGACACCCGGGAAAGGGACCCGGNACUGAAGGGCGGGUGCCACCCCCCUUGGCGACACGGGGGACACAUCCUGGGCACAGCGGUGUCCCCAGAUGUCCGGGACAGGGACGCUCCGGCAGGGAAAGGCUGAGGGGCUCGGAAUUUCAGGCAUCCCGUGGGAAGAACCCCCCCCCCCCCCCCCCCCCCCCCCCCCCCCCCCCCCCCCCCCCCCCCCCCCCCCCCCCCCCCCCCCCCCC
rnacentral:lncRNA from 12 species